rnacentral:rRNA from 1 species
CAGCAGCCGCGGUAAAACAGAGGGUGCGAGCGUUAAUCGGAUUUACUGGGCGUAAAGCGUGCGUAGGCGGCUUCUUAAGUCGGAUGUGAAAUCCCUGAGCUUAACUUAGGAAUUGCAUUCGAUACUGGGAAGCUAGAGUAUGGGAGAGGAUGGUAGAAUUCCAGGUGUAGCGGUGAAAUGCGUAGAGAUCUGGAGGAAUACCGAUGGCGAAGGCAGCCAUCUGGCCUAAUACUGACGCUGAGGUACGAAAGCAUGGGGAGCAAACAGGAUUAGAUACCCGAGUAGUCCCUGUCUCUUAUAC